rnacentral:lncRNA from 13 species
UGACAAGCUGUGUUUUAUUUUAUUUUCAAAGUAGUAUUAUUUUGUUGAGAACCAAUUAUUCUAUAGGACUUUAGAAAACACCCGUGAAUCUGAACUGCUGAAGAAGGUGUCAGUAAAUUAGGCCUAUUGCAAAACAUUACCAGUGACUCAUUUAAAAUCAGGAGAUCUCUUUAGGAACUACUAAUUUGACUAAUCAAGGUGAUAUGGCUUUAGAAAGUAAAUUGUGCCUAAAGGAGGUUCUGAUGUAGCUCUAAUCAUUUAAAAGGUUCCCAGAGCAUGUCUGUACUGAUGACAGAAUUACAAUGGUAAUUUAUUUGGAUGUUGUGUGAUUCAAGAGUUUAAUGCCAGAAAAGAAACUAAAAUUCCCAAGUGAAGCUAUUAUGCAUUAGAUGAUGUAUAAAGGAAAGGCCGUCAAAGCCUCUCCAUGAAAUUCCAAAGUCAACAGUCAAACACACCUCAACUCCUCUCCUACCCACUGCAGUGAAAAUAAGGAUAUUUACUUUUUUCUCUCUAGCUUCUAUCACCAUCAUGGGCAGUCUCACUCAACAUAUGUGUUAGAUAUGUAAGAUCUACAUGCAAAAAGUUGGGGUGGGUAAAAUUAGAGGGUGUAGAGGUGAAAUUAGCAUCUUGAGUAAGAGGGACAGAAAGAGCUGUGAAGAACACAUAAUGCUACUAAGAGACAUUACUCCUUACUUCUCUUUUCUUCCUUCACCAGGAUCUAAAGAUGGUACCAGAGAUUUUUCUCUUUGUUGCUACACUUUUACCUUUGGUAACCAUUUCUGCAAAAUAGUUGGAUCCAAACAAGUUGUCUUUGAAACAUUUUGACUAAAUUGUAUAGUGAGAAGACUUCUGCUUCCAGACAUGGUAAAGUGACAGGGACCAAAUCCUAAACAAGGCAUGAGAAAAAAACAAAGCAAAAUCAACUUGUAUAAACUUGUUAUAGCAUGUUUGAACAGGAUGUUGUUUGAGGCACUAAGAAGGAUAAGCCAUCAGUUUGUAAAGAGCCUCUAUCAGGAAAACUUGAAUUCUGCUAAAAUUGAAGCAAGAACAAAUAUCAAAUUUGUGGUGAAGAGUGGGUGGAAGACUGCUGAAAUCAUUGAUGCUUUAAAUAAUGUUUAUGAGGACAAUGCCCCAAAUAAAUCAGCGUUUGAACACAAAUAACUGUCUUUAAAAGGGAAUGAGAUUAUGCUGAACAGGAAGCAUACAGCAGUAGACCAUCCACAUCAAUUUGCAAGGCAAAAUUUCAUCUUGUUUGUACCCUAAUUGAAGAGGACUAAUGAUUAACAACAGCACAAACAAUAGCCAACACCAGACAUCUCAAUUGGUUCAGCUUAUAUAAUUCUGACUGAAAAAUUAAAGUUAAGCAAACUUUUCACCUGAUGGGUACUAAAACUGUUGUGCCCAGAUUAGCUGCAGACAAGAACACAGCUUUCAAUGGAAAUUUUAAACAAGUGGGAUGAAGAUCCUGAAAUAUUUCUUCCAAGAAUUAUAUCAAGAAAUGAAAUGUGGCUUUACCUAUACAAUCCAAAGCAAAUGCCACCAAAGCUGAAAGUGGUCCCAUCAGAGCAAAACCAGUCAAGAGCAAACAUCAUGACAAUAGCUCUUGGGGCUACUCAAGAUAUUUUGCUUGUUGAUUUUUAGGAGGUUCAAAGAAUGAUAACAUCUUAUUAUGAAAGUGUUUUGAGAAUGGUAACCAAAGCUUUAGCAGAAAAAUGCCAGAGAAAGCUUCACCAGAGAUUCCUCUACUAUGACAAUGCUUCUACUUAUUUCUCUUAUCAAACGAGAUAUUUUGUGAGAAUUUCUAUGGGAAAGUAUUAGGCAUCCAUCUUACAGUCCUGAUUAGGCUCUUUCUGACUUUUUUUUUUUAAUUAAACUUUAAAUUCGUUAUAUAGGUAUACAUGUGCCAUGGUGGUUUGCUGCACCCAUUAACCCGUUGUCUAGAUUUUAGGCCCCAUAUUAGGUAUUUGCCUAAUACUCUCCCUCUCCAUGCCUCAUCCCCUGAUGGGCCCCAGUUGUGAUGUACCCCACCCCGUGUCCAUGUCUUCUCACUGUUAAACUCCCACUUAUGAGUGAGAACAUGCAGUGUUUUUCUGUUCCUUGUGUUAGUUUG